rnacentral:pre_miRNA from 1 species
GAGAGACUGCCAACUGUCCAGAGGGCCAACAGAGUGUUCCCAUGUGAAUAAAUCAAUGUGAAUACAUCUGCUGGUUCCAUUAGACAGUAUGGCAC